GAAACCGAUUCGAAAAACCGGUU
rnacentral:siRNA from 1 species